ACUCAUUUAUCAUUCCUGUGAUUAUGACGAUUAGUCCUAGCGUUACCCUUCUCCUUCAUAUAAAUAUGUGGACACAGAACCCUAUUUUUCCUCACUACUUCCAUCCGACAUUGGAAACCUCAUUAUUCAUUGGAGAUGCUCUUUCCAUAUCUUUCUCCCCUUCCGCUUCCUCCUUACUGCAUGGUGAAAUGUUUGGCAAAGAGAGGCGGUGACAGGGGAGCAACGCCAAAUCAACCCAAUGUUCUUGCGAAGGUUGAAACAUUUCCCAAUAAAUUGCUAAUUGCAAGGAACAAGCUGCUGCAAUAGACGUCUCUUCCUUUGCUCCUGCUGAGGAGUACCCGCCGAUUGUAUGUGCCUGUGAUUCUAUUAAUUAAGGGAUUAGGCUCGAUCUGCUCUGACUACAUGAUUCUAAGACAUUACUCCAGGUGCCAUCUAAGGAUUUAUGGCAACAACAAACUGUGACUUGGGCCCAACUGAGCUGGUGUAGAGGUGAUAGUCUAGCUUUGGUCUUGAGGGAGUUGGCUGGCAGGUUGAUUGAUGGCAUGUGCCACAACUCUGGAGGCAGAGGACCCCAAUCGUCUAUGUGGCUGUUUUCCCUCCGGCAUAGUGUUGAGCAGCGACUUCUUUUUUUCUGAGGGAGGGCGCCAGCCUCUUCUUCUUUCAUAGAGGCAUGACCACAAGAUCAAAAUAACUGCAGAACCACAACAAGACUCAUUUGCUUGUUUGUUGAUGAUAUGCUUCGGAUUAAUCUUUCAUUGAGGUUAUCGGUUGGUCCUUAUAUUUCGAGUUGUCGAGACACAAUGAUGUUACUACGAAUAUUUGCACAUUUUGUGUUAGUAGUUGAAAUUGAACACAUUAGACACUAAAGGUACACGGAUGUUGUUUGAAAAGUCAAAAGGCUACUAUCUGUUUGUAUUGUUGCUCGUCCUAUGUAUUCGAUGGUCGUCUAAUUGGCAUCUGUAUUUAGGCUUGG